rnacentral:lncRNA from 1 species
AGAAAAUCAAGAGAGAUGAAUAUGAUCUGAAGCUGGAGAGAGAAAAACCUAGAGAGAGAAAAACCAAGAGAGAUGAAUAUGACUUGACCCUAGAGAGAGAAAGAGUGGCAGGAAAGGUGCGUUCUACCGGCCAACGCCAUGGCUAAACAACCGCACACGGACGCCAUUUUCUGCUUUUUAAAAAACCCAACUCCUCGCCACAUUUCAGCUCUCCCCUUCAGGGGCGGGGUUCCCGAAGCCCUACCCCUCUUUCUGUCUCUCUCUUCAUUUUUAAAGGGCACCCCACCCCGUAAACCCCACCAUCUGAAAUUUGCAGAGGACAACCCCUCCCUUUCUCGCUCUAAAACAAGAUAGAAGCUUCUCUUCCUUCUCUCUCAACGCUUUUAUGGCGAAACAAGAAGAACCCAUCUCUUGUGACCCACCAAAAGGCCUGCAAAUUCAGGUACUAAGCUUGGUCGCCGUGCCUCACUACCCACAUUGGUCUGGAAAUCCAUGGCUCCUUCUCUGUUUUCUCUCUCUGUAAACCACUUUUGGGGUAGAGAGAGAGAGCAUGCAAUGAAGUUUUGUACAGUGGUAUAGUGUAGAAGGCAAACAGGAUGGAGCCAGGCAGUAGUAGAUUUUUAUAUACAUAAGAAAAAGAAAUAGCAGAGAAAGGAGGGGGGCAUUUUGAAUGGGAGAUAUGUUUAUAAAUGUGAUUUUUAAAUGGGUUUUUGGUGGAAUCUAUGGGAGAAUGCUCGUUGAGGUCUUUGGAGAUGUUUUUGAUGGGGGGUAUGUAACUCUUUUCGGCCAUGGCUAUGGCGAUGUUUAUGCAUGAAAAAUGUACCCUUUUUACAUUAAUUGAGAUGGUUAUUUAUAAGUUUUUUUUUUCCUUCUGUUUUUUGGAUAACUUCAUGGUGCUUUUUUCGCCAUUAUUGUAAGCCUGGGCCUUGUUCUCUUCCUUAUUUUCUUUUUCUGUUUUGUUGGUUUGUGUGGUUGAUGAGUAAAAGUGAUCCUUUUUUGUUGGUUUUCAUGGUAGUUGAGUAACAGGUUUAUACUUGGUGUUGCAUGGGCGUUUCAUCAUUGAAAUCUUUUGCAGGUUGUUAUUUUUUAUGUGAAAAUGGAUAUUUUUCUCCAUACAUUUCAAUGUAAGACUUUCAAGUUGGUAGUUUGUAUUGGGAUGUGUGGCCUUAAUUUGAUUUCAUCCUUUUGUAGGGUCUGGUUUGGAACUUAGAUUCCCUUUUUCUUUCCUUCUUUUAUUACUUUUUUUUUUGCAUUCUACCCAUUUGAGUAUUAAUCCCUAGGAGGAUUUUACCAAAUUUGGUUUCUUAAUUUUUUUUUUUUCAAGUCCAAAGAAAAAGGUAGAGGUAUUUUUCCCCUUUUUUAGCUUACAGAUUUGUUGACAUUGGGUUGUCCCCUGCACCAGAAGUGGCUUUCUUUGCUAUGAAGAUUGCUGUAUGCAUUUCGGAGCUUAAAUUAGCUGCUUAAUGUAAUGAGUGAGAACAUCAUAGAGUCAGAUACCUUUACUGAAAUUCAUAUUCUGGGCCUUUAUUGAUUUUGGUGAAGAGUGUUUGCAUAUAAGAGUGCUGCUUUAAUAUCAUUUUACUUGAAUAUUUCAGGCUGCUUAGAUUUCUUGUCUAGACAUGAAGUAUGUUGCUCCUGAUUCUUAUAUUUCAUUGAGCUUCUGCUGAUGAAUUAGGGUUUUAUUUUUCUUGAAAUGGUGUUUGGUAUUAAUUUUACAUUGAUUUAACGAAAAGCCAUCUUAAUCAUUUUAUUGAUCCAGGCAUCUCCACUGCUUCUUGUGUACUGCUCUUCCUCCUGAUCCUGUAACUUGGAUCUUGAACUUUCAGUCUUUAUGCAUUUAGAUUUGUUUGUGAAGCAUUCAAGGAUCACAUUAUUAUUAUUCAUUUAGAGUUGUUUGUGUAGCAUUCAAUCAUGACAUUAUUAUUGUUUGGGCGGAUGGGAACUUGAAAGAACCAUCUUUCGAUGCAUAUUAGGUUCCUUUUCCUUUUGCUAGAUAUUAGUUUGAAAAUAUAUCUUUGUGAUAUGUUGGGCAAGAAGAUUUAAGCACAAAAUGUUAUGGAGCUGAUUAUGGAUAUCAACCAAAAAAUAAUUUAUGCAUUAUUAAUUGACCAUGGGCUAUAUGACCACGGCCGCAAAUAUAGUUCCUUAAAAAUCAGUCUAUAUUUAUAGAUUUAAUAUCCACUGGUGCAGAUUGUAUUUUUUUAAAGGACCGGAACCUUGUCUUCCUGGAUGCCUAAGCCAAUAAUGCAACUUUACUCUUCCUCUCUUAACAAUUUGCUAGUAUUUCUUUUUUAAAUUUUUCCUGAUGGUGAGAUUUGAGCCUGGGAUGUAGCCUUGCAACUUUCAACACCAGAUCCGGCAUUCCUAUGCCUGAAUAUCCGAAUGAUUCUAUGUCAUUAGUAAUUCUUUCAAAGUUAUUUUUGAGGAAAGUAUGUGGUCCUUGAGCUUAUUGUGUUCUAGUAAUGAAUAUCCCUGUGAGCUUAGGUUUCUUCCUUGUGAUUAUGUGCCAUCUUUGCACUUUGUUUCCUUGACUUUCUUGCCUUAUCUAGUGGGUAUCUAGAUUGCAUUAUGGAGUUUUUCCUGUGCAUUUCUGUUGCUGGUGAGCAUGGAAUUCGAAUUUGCAACACUACGGUUGACACUCAGAGUAUCUAUUCAUUUGAAAUUUCUUUCCCUGUCCAAUACAUAAUAAAUAUGGCUCAAACUGCCCUUUGUGUCCUAUAAAUGCAAUCUUUCUAAUUCCCCUUUUUUGCAAAACCUCAUUCACAAUGCUAGAUAUAAAUGAUGCACUAUAGGACAUCAUCAUUACAUUUCAAUCGGCAUGGUAUUCCGUGCUUCUUCAAUGGUAUACAUAUAUAUAUUUUUUUGAUCGAUGGUUUGUAUAUUUUAGCCCUCUGAGACUGUUGCAUUGCUGUUCCCCAUCCAAUAUUUGGUGUUUGAGCAUUUAAUGAUGCACUAUAGGACAUCAUCAUUACAUUUCAAUCGACAUGGUAUUCCGUUCUUCUUCAAGGGUAUAAUUUUAUUUUAUUUUUUGAUUGGUGGUUUGUAUAUUUUAACCAUCUAAGACUGUUGCAUUACUGUUCCCCAUCCAAUAUUUGGUGUUUGAGCAUUUUCAACAUUUGAAUGGAAUCUUUUACAAGUGUGUACAUCUAUAAUAGUUAUCCAAAUUGCCACCUUGUAGCAACUCAUUCAGCCAUUUUUGUAAGUUGGAUGAUUUACCAAAAGUCAGUUAAUAUUAGUUGUUAUUUACUUAAUUUAACAAAUGAAAAAAAUUGGAACAUGUAGAAAUUUUGAAAAAAAUUCAUAGAUUUUUCAUAGUUGUAGAAAAAUAUUUAAAACUAAGUCAUAAAGAAAAUUAGUUAUAUAUAGUUAUGCCUAUAAGAACUAUAAAAAAAAUGCUAUAAAUAGUUUGUGUGCAGUUGGUCUUUUGAAAAGAAUAGCUUUUUGUUGAUAAUUUCAAAAAGAAAUAAACAUGCACAGAAAAACAAUGAAUUCUUUUCAAUAUUUAAAACUAAGUCAUAAAGAAAAUUAGCUAUAUAUAGUUAUGCCUCUAAGAAAUAUAAAAAAAAAUUGCUAUAAAUAGUUUGUAUGCUGAUGGUCUUUCAAAAAGAAUAGCUUUUUGUUGUUAAUUUCAAAAAAGAAAUAAACAUGCACAGAAAGACAAUGAAUUCUUUUCUUCAUCUUAUACUGUUCAAGCCUACAGCCAGGUAAACAUAUUGCACUUGAUAGCGACUUGUUCAACCACUGAAUCAAGUUUGCUUGUCCAUUUAACAAGUAUCAAUCCAUACGAGUCUCAUGUGUUUCACUUCAGUUUGAUUAGCUAAGCGUUUUUAAAAGAAGUAUCAAAGAAAACCUUGAAAUUUAAAAAGGAAAAAUAAAAAUACAGAAAACCAGUCUUAUUUUUUUUUUGGAAAAGGGAGAGUACAGUUGCAAUUCUUAGAGAAGUCAAUGAGGAGGUGGAGAUGUGGGGUAUCGGCCCUGUACCUCUCGCAUGCUAAGCAAGUGCUCUACCUUCUGAGCUACAUCCCCUUCUGAAAACCAGUCCCUUUAUAAAAUAUUUUAGUUAUAGAGAGGUCAUGUCAGAAGCAACUUAAAGAUCAACAUCUAUGUAUAGAAAAAGAACUGAUCAUUUUGGUUUGUAUUUUGGUGUUUAAUAUAAAGAUCUACUGAUUUUAAUGAAGCGAUUAGAUCCGAUGGAUACAAUUUAGUUUUCAAAUGCAUUCUUGAAAACCAGCAGAAUCAGGGUAUGGAUUUCAAGGUUCUUCAUUUUAGUUCAAUAUUUUGUCGUUUUAAGGUUAUGGGACAAGCAUACAUGGCUGGAGUCUACUGUUUGCUUGGAUUAUUAAUUUAGGAGUGGGGUUGCUUGAUCCUAUUCAGAGAAUCGCAUCAUAAAAUUGAUUUGUAAAGAAACUCAAAAUCAUCAUUUUUUAGUUUACUUCCAAAAGGACUUGCCUUCUGACUAGUGCAUAAAUUGAAAGUGAACCGGGAUCUGCAUGAGCUAUUGGCUUGAAAUUUGUGAAUAGAUGUGAAUGAAAGAUUUACAUAGUGAUUUAUUGUUGAAUUACCUUAAAAACAGGAUAAUCCAUGAAGGAAAAGGAUGUUAGUUGGACUUAAUUUACUUGAAAAGUACCCGGAUGCCUGAUGUGCGUGCAUUGGCUUCUUUGCUUGAUAUAGGAUAUUCUUCUUUAAUUUGUUUUGCAUAGAAUGGUUUGUUGGUAUUAGAAUGACUACAGAGCUUUGUUUCGGGUGGAUCUUCUUGAUACGGAUUGUUCAUGAUAGUUUAAUAUGAGCCCAGGAAUAAAAUGUCCUAUGGAGACAAGGUUUACUUUGUAAUAUGUUAAGGUUCAUCAGUUUCAAAAUGAUUUGAGGUAUUCAAGACUUCUAUUAUACUAUGAGGAAGAAGAAACAACUUCAAACCUUAUUAGGUCUACGUUGCAUAUGGCCAACCCACCUAAUCUACUUUCCUUCAUUUUCUCAUCUAUUGGAGCCACAUCUAAGUUCCCUCAUUUAUACUCAUUUUGAAUCUAUCCUUUCUUAUUGUGCCACUCAUCCAUUUCGACAUCCUCAUAUCAACUAGACUCAUCUUUUGGAUAUGUUGUUUCUUGACCGCUCAACAUACAUCCAUGAAGCAUGGCUAGUCUUACAGCCAUCGUAUAAAACUUUCCCUUUAGUUUCAUUUUUAUGCGGCAAUCACAUAAAACUCUGGAUGCACAUCUCCACUUUGCCCAGCCAGCUCUAAUCCUAUGUGCGACAUCAUCCUCAAUCUCUCCAUUCUCCUAGAUUAUCGACUCAAGAUAUAAAAAAUAAUCUCUUUUAGGUAUUUAUUGGUCAUCAAUCGUAACUACUUCCUCGUUAAUAUUCGUAUUAUUACCAAGAUUGCAUUCCAUAUAUUCUGACUUAAUCCUAUUAAGUUUUAGAUUCUAAAGCUUCCCUCUAAAGGUCUAACUUUACAUUGACACCUUGAUAUCAUCAAUUAAAACUUCUUCAUCCACGAACAACAUGCACGACAAUACUUUUUGUCCAUUCAUUUGGUAUUUUGUUUGUUCUCACCAUCUUGUUGAACUGUUUGGUCAUCCAGAUGAUGCUAGUUUCUGCCAUACACUUCCAAACCUCUAUUGGGAUACCAUAUAGUCCUAAAGCCUUUACUUCCCUCAUUCGUCUUAAAGCUUCUUUCACUUUAGAUCUCCUAAUCCUACAAAUGUAUUAAUGACCUACGACUUCAUUUAAGUCGAAGGUUUCUUUAAACGGUGUGCUCCCAAAGUAUUCAUCAUUUAAGAAUUUUUGAAAAUAUACUUGCCACUUUUUGUUGACCUCGUCAUUUUUGACCAACACCCUCUGAACCUCACUUUUAAUGCAUUUGAUAUGAUCUAGAUCCUUAUACUUUCCUCUCUUUCAUUUUUGCUAGUUUGAAGACUGCUUUUUCACCUUCGCUUGUCCCCAGUUUAUUUAUAGGUUAUCAUAUGCCUUAAGUUUAGCCCUACUUACUAUUAUCUUAGUGGUUUUUUUAGUAUUUUUAUAUUCUUUUAAGUUUUGAUCAUUUCUAUCACAUUGUUAAGCUUUAUAACAUGAUCUUUUUCGCCAAUAGCCUUUUGAACCUCAUUACUCCACCACCAAGUUUCUUUAUUAUAAUUUCUUUUCCCUCUGGAUUCUUAUAAAACGUCAUUUGUCACUUUUUUAAUACAAUUAGCUAUCUCAUUUGUCAUUCCACAUAACAUUACCUUCGUUCUCAGAAUUCCAUUUUUACUCUUUUACCAAUUUACUAAAUAAUUUUAUUUUCGCCCUUUUUAAAUUCUACCGCUAUUUCUUGGACACUUAUUGAUUUCACUUUUCUUGUAUCUCUUUAUGCAAGUAUCCAUCAGCAUGAGCCAAAACUUACAACCUUUACAUGAUGAUCGAUCUGCCUUCUUAACUAGAAAGAAGUUUAUUUGGCUUUUAUAUGAUCUACUUUUAUAAGUUAUUAAUUGUUCAUCUCGCUUUUUAGAGUACGUGUUUGCUAUUGCUAGCUCGUAAGCCAUAACAAAAUCUAAAAUAGCAUCACUCAUCUCAUUUCUUUCCCCCAAACCAUACCUUCCAUGUACCCUAUCAUAUCAUCUACUAUCUUUUGUUUUAUGACUAUUUUAGUCCCAUCUUAAAAAAACCCUCUCUUCAUUUAGUAUUCCUUAGACUAGUCCAUCCAUGUCCUCCCAUAAUCAUUUCUUAAUUCUCUUCGUUAGGCCUACCUGUGGCGCAUAAGCAUUAAUUACAUUAGUUAUCUCCUCCUCUAACAUAAGGUUAAUUAAUAGGAGCCUAAUACUUACUCUCUUAAUAUCCAGUCCUUUAUCCUUUACAUCUUUAUCUACUAUUAUGCCUAUGUCAUAUCUAUUAUUGUCCUUUUGCAAUAUACCAAUGAUUAUAUCCAUCGAAUUCUUUAGCUUUAUCUCCUUUCCCUUAGUUUCUUGUAGGCAUGCCAUGUUACCUCUCCUUUCUCUCAUUUUAUCCACUAACUCCAUACUCUUACCUAUUAUAUUUCCUACAUUCCAUCGCUAGAAUAGAUUCUAUUCUCUUGGUUUGGCCUAUCGUCCAAAAUGGUAGGGAACCCCUGCAGUGUUUAAAAAAGUAAACCACUCAGCGCUUAGGCGGUCUGGAAGGCCUGGGCGCAUCGCUUAGGCGGCCAAACUGGGCAGCCGACCUUGGGCGGCCGCCCAGGGCCUGCGUCCCACCCAAGGGCAAAAUUUUUUUUUUUUAAGUUGUAUUGAUUUUUUUUGAAAUAUAAAGGGUUUGAAGGAUGGGUUUUAGGUUCAUUUCAAACCUAAACCCACAAGAACCCAUUUUAGAGAGAAAGAAACCUCAAGAAAACUAAUUUUUGUGACUUUCAUUGCAUCAAAGUGUUUCUCAAAGUUACGAAAAACGGAUCCAAACAUCACCCAGGUAGAUUUGAUUUAGUUUUGGAGAUUUAUAAUCUUAUUAGAGGGUGUUUUUUAUUAUUUUAGCACUAGAAAACAUUUUCGAGAUGGGAGUUUGGAGUUCAAGCAAUCAAAGUAAGUGCAAAAAUUUAUUUUUUAGAUUGUUUGUUUUAUUUUGAGAUGUCUUCUUCAGGAUCUAGUCGAAGUGGAGAUCCGUGUUGGAAAUAUGGAUAUAACCCGAAUCCAAAUGACAAAAACUGGUUUAAGAAGCAUAUUGCUGGUAUUAAGGGGGAUGUUGCCCAUUGUAAAAAUAUUCUUGAAGCUAUCAGAGAGGAGAUUGAGUAAUCUAUGAGUUUUGUAAAACAAAAAUUGGAACAAAAUCCUUGUCAUUUGAAUAGAUCUAUUUCUGCUACUUUUAAAAGAAGUGAUUCGGGUUGGAAGUAUCGUUAUAACCCAAAACCAAACGAUAAAAAUUGUAUAAGGUGUAAUUUUUGUGAAAAAGAUACCAAUGGGGGUAUUAACCGAUUCAAGAAACUCCUUGCUGGUAUUAAAAGGAAUGUUGCUUCUUGUAAAAAGGUUCUUGAAGCUGUUCGAGAUGAGAUUAGACACUUCUAAAUUUAAAAAAACAAGAAAAUGAUGAAAAUGAGCCUUGUUCUACAAAAAUAUCUUUUCCAGGUUCUUCUAGAAGUGGUGAUCCGAGUUGGAAGUAUGGUUGUAACCCGAAUUCGAAUGACAAAAAUCGUAUUAAAUGUAAUUAUUGUGGAAAUGAUACUAAUGAGGGCAUUUACCGGUUUAAAAAACACCUUGCCGGUAUUAAGGGAGAUAUAGCCCCGUGUAAAAAUUUUCUUGAGUCUAUCAAGGAGGAAAUUAUACAAUAUUUGAGUACAGGGAAGCACAAAAAGAUAAAAAAAGGUAGAGCAGCCAAGACUCCUAAGGCCUCAUCUACCCAUUACUAGUAAGAGGGAGGUAGAAGAAGAGGAGGAAGAGGCAGAUUCAGAAGAAAUAGAGGAGGACGAACGUUAUAUUGAAGAGAGAGAUGACUUUGAUGAUGAUGGUUUUGAUUCUGAUGCAUAUGAUGAAGCUGAUCCUAUUCCUUCUGAUAAUGAUGACUGAAGACUCUUGGUGUUGAGUGUUGACUGUUGUGUUGAGUGUUGACUAUUGUGUCUGUAUAUUUUUUUAAUUUCUAUAUAUUUUCUAUUUCUUAUUUUUAGUUUCUAGUUCUACUAUCUAACUUAUACGUGUAGAGUCUACAGUGUAUCAAACUAUCAGUGUAGUGUAUGCUUGUAUGGUUUUACUGUUUUAGCAUUGUAUGAAAAAUAUGGAUUAUGGUUUUAUGGAUUAUCAAACUACUGGGAUUAUGGUCUUAGUUUUUUUUUUUUUCAAUUGGGCCGCCCAGGUUUUGGGCACCCACCUAGGCGCUGGGCGGCCUGGCCCUCCAUGGCCGCCUACCGCCUAGCGCUUUUUGAAACACUGAACCCCUGCAUACUUAUCAUUGCAAUCGGUUGUCAUUGCUUGCUGCUCAUCAUUUCUAGGGAAAGCCGUAGCUAACCCAUUCUCAUUUCUCACUGCAUCUGGGUUUUGAUGCAGCACAUCGCUUACAGGGGGAACUCUAGCAUGAGCUUAUAACAUAGGUUCAGGAGUCAUGAAAAGAUGUGGCAAAAUUUUAUGCUGGC